rnacentral:rRNA from 1 species
GUCUACAGCCAUACCACCCUGAACACACCCAUUGUUGCCUGAUCUUGGGAGCUAAGCAGGGUCUGGCCUAGUUAGUACUUGGAUGGGAUAAUUUGAGGCCAGACUAGGCUAAGUGAGAUC